rnacentral:misc_RNA from 1 species
GAUGAAGAACGUAGCGAAAUGCGAUAAGUAACGUGAAUUGCAGAAUUCAGUGAAUCAUCGAAUCUUUGAACGCACCUUGCGCCCUUUGGCCAUUCCGAAGGGCAUGCCUGUUUGAGUAUCAUGAACACCUCAACUCUCAUGGCUCGCCAUGAUGAGCUUGGACUUUGGGGGUCUUGCUGGCCUGUGGUCGGCUCCUCUCAAAUGGAUCAGCUUGCCAGUGUUUGGUGGCAUCACAGGUGUGAUAACUAUCUGCGCUUGUGGUUUUCCAUCAGAUAACCUUCAGUGAUGGAGGUUCGCUGGAGCUCAUAAACGUCUCCCCUAAGCGGGGACAGCCCUUUGAAUGUUUGAUCUCAAAUCAGGUAGGACUACCCGCUGAACUUAAGCAUAUCAAUAAGCGGAGGA